CUUUGUCUCUGGCUCAGGCCGGAGCCUGAGAUCCAUCUCUACUGUCCCGCGUGUUGCCCCUCGGGAGCACUAGGUGACUUUGUCACAUCCUCUGUUGCCCUGAGAUCUGGAGGUACUGGGAAAUGCAUAGCUAAGAUGCCAGGACAUCCUGGAAACCAGGAAAUGUUUGUCUGCAUCUUGUUAUUGGGCCACAAGAACACACAGCCAGACCCAGUUUGGUCCAGGAACAACAUCUGGCAAGCUAGCCAAGAGUCACUGAAAUGGUGCUGCACUCAGUGGCCCGUGAUUGUGGCGAGAUGGUCAUUUGGAGACUCCCAGAAGCUGCUGGAUAAGAUUGUCCUGGGGACUCUCCCAGGGGCUAUUCCAUGUGCAAAAACCACAUGUCCCUCUCACCACUGGGGAAGAAUGGUGAUCAGGCAGGAGUGGAUGCACUCAAAGGGGUCUUGCUCUGUCACCCAGGCUGAAGUGCAGUGGUGCGAUCUUGGCUCACUGCAUCCUCCAUCUCCCAGGUUCAAGCAAUUCUCUGCCUGAGCCUCCCGAGUAGCUGGGAUUACAGGCACCUGCCACCGCGCCCAGCUAAUUUUUUUGUAUUUUUAGU
ensembl:lncRNA novel transcript